rnacentral:rRNA from 1 species
UACGAAGGGGGCUAGCGUUGUUCGGAAUUACUGGGCGUAAAGCGCGCGCAGGCGGGUCAUCAAGUCAGGGGUGAAAGCCCAGAGCUCAACUCUGGAACUGCCCUUGAAACUGGUGACCUUGAGUACGGGAGAGGUGAGUGGAAUUCCCAGUGUAGAGGUGAAAUUCGUAGAUAUUGGGAAGAACACCGGUGGCGAAGGCGGCUCACUGGCCCGUUUCUGACGCUCAUGCACGACAGCGUGGGGAUCAAACAGG